rnacentral:rRNA from 1 species
UAGGGAAUCUUCGGCAAUGGACGGAAGUCUGACCGAGCAACGCCGCGUGAGUGAAGAAGGUUUUCGGAUCGUAAAGCUCUGUUGUUAGAGAAGAACGUUGGUAGGAGUGGAAAAUCUACCAAGUGACGGUAACUAACCAGAAAGGGACGGCUAACUACGUGCCAGCAGCCGCGGUAAUACGUAGGUCCCGAGCGUUGUCCGGAUUUAUUGGGCGUAAAGCGAGCGCAGGCGGUUCUUUAAGUCUGAAGUUAAAGGCAGUGGCUUAACCAUUGUACGCUUUGGAAACUGGAGGUCGUGAGUGCAGAAGGGGAGAGGAGAAUUCCAUGUGUAGCGGUGAAAUGCGUAGAUAUAUGGAGGAACACCGGUGGCGAAAGCGGCUCUCUGGUCUGUAACUGACGCUGAGGCUCGAAAGCGUGGGGAGCAAACAGG